GUUGAGUUCCCUCCGUCUGAGAAAAUUUGUCCUUGAAAUGGAUGUAUCUAGUAUCAAGUUAGUGCUAGAUACAUGCAUCUGAAAAAUAAGUUUGGGACAAGUUUUUUCGGACGGAGGGAGUAUAUG
rnacentral:pre_miRNA from 1 species